CGCUCUGCUGUGGCCUAUGGCUUUUCAUUCCUAUGUGAUUGCUGUUCCGAACUCAUGUAGGGCUAAAAGCCAUGGGCUACAGUGAGGGGCAAGCUCC
ensembl:miRNA